UCUUGAGUUCAAUAAACAUAUAUUUCUCCUCCAUACCAUUCAAUACAAAAUGGUUAUAUGCGUGAAUGUCAUCCUGACCCUCUUUGUUUUUAAAGAUGUUCUGGCAGAUGUUUCAAUAACUGAAUCAGGAGGAGGAGUGAAGAGUCCAGGAGAUUCGCUUCGACUUACUUGCACAAGCUCUGGCUUCAAUAUCGACAGCCACUAUAUGGAAUGGGUCCGCCAGGCAGAUGGAAAAGGACUGGAGUGGAUCGCGCGGAUACAUCAAAGCACCACGUAUUAUGCCAAUUCUUUCAAAGGUCGAGUCACAAUCUCCAAAGAUAGUUCCAGGAACCAAGUUUAUCUAGACAUGAAUGGACUGAAAGCUGAAGACACAGCCAAAUAUU